GGGGGGGGGGGGGGGGGGGCGGAGGGGGGGGGGGUGGGGGGGGGGCGGGGGGGGGGCGUGCGCGGACGGGGGGCGGGGGGCGGGGGGGUGGGGAAUAGCUCGGGAUCUACGUUUUCGUGGGGGAUAACUUGGGGAAGCUGACGCUACUACCGCAUACGCCCUACGGGUGACAGCAGAGGAUCUGCGGCCCUUGCGCGAUUGAAUUCGCCGAUGUCGGAUUAGCUAGUUGGCGGGGUAAAGGCCCACCAAGGCGACGAUCCGUAGCUGGUCUGAGAGGAUGAUCAGCCACACUGGAACUGAGACACGGUCCAGACUCCUACGGGAGGCAGCAGUGGGGAAUAUUGGACAAUGGGCGCAAGCCUGAUCCAGCCAUACCGCGUGGGUGAAGAAGGCCUUCGGGUUGUAAAGCCCUUUUGUUGGGAAAGAAAAGCAGCAGGUUAAUACCCCGCUGUUCUGACGGUACCCAAAGAAUAAGCACCGGCUAACUUCGUG
rnacentral:rRNA from 1 species